GAUGAACGCUAGCGGGAGGCCUAACACAUGCAAGCCGAGCGGUAUUUAUUCUUUGGAAUAGAGAGAGCGGCGUACGGGUGCGUAACACGUGUGCAACCUGCCUUUAUCAGGGGGAUAGCCUUUCGAAAGGAAGAUUAAUACCCCAUAAUAUAUUGAUUGGCAUCAAUUGCUAUUGAAAACUCCGGUGGAUAAAGAUGGGCACGCGCAAGAUUAGAUAGUUGGUGAGGUAACGGCUCACCAAGUCGAUGAUCUUUAGGGGGCCUGAGAGGGUGAUCCCCCACACUGGUACUGAGACACGGACCAGACUCCUACGGGAGGCAGCAGUGAGGAAUAUUGGACAAUGGGUGAGAGCCUGAUCCAGCCAUCCCGCGUGAAGGACGACGGUUCUAUGGAUUGUAAACUUCUUUUAUAUAGGGAUAAACCUACUUACGUGUAAGUAGCUGAAGGUACUAUAUGAAUAAGCACCGGCUAACUCCGUGCCAGCCGCCGCUGUAA
rnacentral:rRNA from 1 species